UUCCUUCCAUGUCAGACACCGACACGUGGGGCACCCUGCAUACGAGCACGAACGCUGAACCAUCCCAGAAAAAUCGUCGGUGCCUGUAACAACCGCGUAACAACCGGGCAUGAGCCGACAGAUGGCGUUACAGGUUUAUAAAACCCGAUUCCCAUGUGCCUUCCGCCAUAACCAGGCUUGGGAGCUAGCGCAACCUUGCAUGGAUGAUUACGCUGAAGCACAGCGACGAGUAGGAGAGAGAGAAUAGAGCCGCUGCGACCACGCCUCGCGUUCACCAUCUCCCAGCCUCUCGAUCGCUGGGGAAUUGGGCGAGAUCACCAAGUCGUGCAGAUCGUGCGUGUGGUCAGCAGAGCAAGGAAGUUGGCGGGGGAGACGAAUUGCUUGCCGGUGCUUGGCCGAAUCCUCACCGGGAAUCCUCGGGCGGCACUGCAGCGUCGACCGGCCGCAUCGACGUCUUUUCGAGUGGUGAGACCCUACUAAAUUACUCGCCGUAGCAUCCGCAUAGAUGAUCCCCAUUCAAUUUCCGAAUUUAGACCUAGAAAUCGGCAGGGUUGGUUCGCCACCAAUGGCGACGUCGUGCCUUAGCGUUCUGUCGCCGGUCGGGCACCGUGGUGAGAGAGAGAGGAUUGGGGGGGAGAAAAAUGAAGGGCUUGGGCUGUUGGAUCAUACACGGACGGCGCCGAUCUAACCACGCAUACCCCUUCGCUCAAUAGGAUUUGGGCCGUAGAUCUGAGAUCAAGCGAUCAGGAUUUGAUCAUAGUCAUUCUUAAUCUGGACUGACGAUCUUUAAUCCGGUGGUCCUCAUGGCUUACCGGUUCAUUUUUAAUGAAGUCUAAUCCUGGCCGUGGAAUUUAGAUCUGACGGCUGAAGUCAGCCCGUACCCCUUCGGCCGGGGAUAAUUGCAUGUGAGCCCUCAUAAAACUAUCAAAUAAACCCGUCGUCCACUCACGUGGAAAACUAAUUAAAUCUAGGUCCUGAGUUUCACAGUUUAGACCCUGUGUUUUCUAGAAAUUGUGUUCGCAGGCCAGAAUUAAUAGGGAUAUUCAUAAUUAAAUCAGAAAAUGAUUUUUUUUAUAAAAAUAAAUCUAGGAACUUGUUUAAUUCAUAGUUAAUUCAUUUUAGCUCCAGAUUGAGUUAUUCCAGUUGCAAUAAUUUUGUUUUAAUAUUAUCUUUCAUCUAGUGCUUCUGUUUAGCCAUAAAACUUGAAUUAAAAAUGUUCAUUUGAAUUAAUCUAUUCUAGGUGCUUAACAACUCCAGAAAUUCAUAACUUGUUAACCGUAACUCCGAAUUUAGUAAUUCUUGUUCUUAUGAUCUCGUUACGCAGCUUAGAAUAUUAUUAUGUAGUUUGAUCUUAUAUUUGGUGUGAUGUUAAUUUUGCAUAUACAUGUUUGUCUGUAUUGCUACGUUUAGCAAUGAGGACACAAGUUACCUGAAGAUCAUCCUGGUACCUGGAAUCUCAUGUCCCAGGCAAGUUGUGCCCUUGAUCACUUCUUUUUACCCAGUCAUGUUCUGAUUAAUCAUAAUGAUCUGCAUAGGUUAAUUUUGAUGGGACCCAAUAGGUUACCCUAGUUUGAUUAUCUUUAUACCUUGAUUACCACUGGACUUUUUGGGUAGUACCUGCUAUUGCUUUAUGUGGUUUUGGGUAUGAAGAUUACAUUAUUCAUGAUUACACUUUUGUUAUUAGUUGUUAUUUACUAUUCAUGAUAAGAUCAUUAUGUUAAUUGGAACAUGGAGAACCACCCGGGAAAACAGUGCUACCACAAGGGUUUAUGGACGCCCUUGGCUGAUUAACUAGGAAAGCUAGUGGAGGUCUACCUUACCCGAAAGGGGCAAGGGCAGUAGGGGAGUGGUCAGUGUAGGAAGGUCCUUAGUUGAUUUUGCUGCGAUGGCGGUCAGGCAAGAACCCUGCAUUGGAGCUUCCUAUAAACUGUAGCGGGAUUUCUGAAGCUAGUGGACCUUUGUAAAGGCCUCGUAGUGUUACCCUGCCUCGCCUCCUCGGUAGAGGUGUAUGGGAUUGGCCGUCUCUUGGCAGAUGGGUAACAUGACUUGUGGGUAAAGAUGCGCAACCUCUGCAGAGUGUAAAACUGGUAUACUAGCCGUGCUCACGGUCAUGAGCGGCUCGGACACUCACAUGAUUAAAUUAUGGAACUUAAACUCAAUUUGUCAUAUGCAUUGCAUCGCAGGUGAGGUUGUUACUUUUAUUCUACUAAAUUGGGCUGGUAUUUACUUAUACUUAGUAAUUGCUAAUAAAAUUUUGACCAACUUUAAAAGCAAUGCUUAGCUCUAACCAUCCUCUUUGGUAAGCCUUACACUUCACGUGAGCUCCCACCUUUGGCGAGUUCAUGCACAUUAUUCCCCACAACUUGUUGAGCGAUGAACGUAUGUGAGCUCACUCUUGCUGUCUCACACCCCCCCCACAGGUCAAGAACAGGUACCACAGGAUGAGGCGCUUGGAGGAUGCUGUGACAAGUUCGUGAGAGGUCUAGGUCGUCGUCUCCCAGUCAACUUUGGGUUGCUGGACCGUUGUCUCCAUAUAAUGUAUUUAUUUAUUUAUUUUGUACAAAACUCCGAUUAUAUAGUAAAGAUGUGACAUUCGAUCAUGUGCCAUGAUUCAUCAUAUGUGUGAGACUUGGUCCCAGCACACCUGGUGAUUAUGUUCGCGCACGAGUCUUGGUGCCCCGAAACCCGGGUGUAACAAUUACAUAGACGUGGUUGAAAUGUUUCGGUGGUAGGUCGUAGUAUGGUUGUGUUCAUGAUUUUGAGUUAGAGAUUGGUGGUUGACGAUUCGUAUAAAUUGGUUGAUGAUGUGCAUGUGUGAUUAUAUGUGUAAAAAAAUUGUAUUGGUAUGGAUGGAAGUUUGUAGUGAAAGAAAAUGAGUAAGGAACUGGGCUCGGAUGUUUUUAAGUUUUGG
rnacentral:lncRNA from 1 species